UACAGAGGGUGCGAGCGUUAAUCGGAAUUACUGGGCGUAAAGCGUGCGUAGACGGUAGCGUAAGUCGGAUGUGAAAUCCCCGGGCUCAACCUGGGAACUGCAUUUGUGACUGGCAAGCUAGAGUAUGGCAGAGGGGGGUAGAAUUCCACGUGUAGCAGUGAAAUGCGUAGAGAUGUGGAGGAAUACCGAUGGCGAAGGCAGCCCCCUGGGAUGAGACUGACGCUCAUGUACGAAAGCGUGGGGAGCAAACAGG
rnacentral:rRNA from 1 species